CUGGAAGGCGGAGCUACGGUUCUGGGAGGCGGAGCUACGGACGGCUCUGGGUGGCGGAGCUGCGGACAGCUCUGGGAGGCUGAGCUACGGUUCUGGGAGGCGGCGCUACGGACGGCUGUGGGCGAUGGAGCUUCGGAUCGCUCUGGGAGGCUGAGCUAUGGACGACUCUGGGAGGCGGAGCUAUGGACGGCUCUGGGAGGCGGAGCUUCUGACAUCACGGGGAUGGAGCGUCUGGAAGCGCAAGUCUCAUAUGCUGUCUGUAUGAACACUGAAUGGAGGCAUUUCUAACCAGCAAUCAGCCAACUACAAUGCAGCAAGAGACCAUGGGCCGAGUUUGGCGGCCGUGCGGCUGCUGAACUCCGUCGUCAUUACAUCCGGUACCUAGGCAAAAUAAAAAGCCAUAAAGAAAGCUGUUGGCUGUCUCUGAACUAUUGGCAAUAAUCUGAAUACGGAUCAAUAAGAGAAGCAGUAGACCGGUUAACGCAAUACGGCAACCCACAUCUGCCCUAGAGAUAAUGGAUAGCUGAUUGUGUCAUCCUUGAUGGUUUUAAAGCUAUUUUCAUUUAGGAUGUAGGGGAUCAAGAUUUACAGAAGCAAAUGACUACUAAAGACAAGAGGUGCCUUCCAUAGUGUGUUACAAUAAUAAAAAUUAAAUGGAUUCAUACCAUUGGUGGCUGUGUCUACCAGAUCACAGAAAUAAAUGUUCUAUGUUCUUUCUGUGUUACGUGUGAUGCUGUUAUCACUCAGAGGACUCCUCUCAGCCAUUGGGCAAGAUACAACCUCCAAAUAAAAAGAAUAAAAUAA